UCUCCCGGCGGCGGCAGCUGCGCCGCCAAAGCCCCGGGCCCCAGCGGCCCCCCACCCCUCACUCGCGCGCUCCCACACUGCCUCCCCCCCCUCCCCGGGGGGAAGGCCUUUUAAUUUAUUUAUUCUGCUGGGACUGAGGUGGGGGGCUCGGCUGGCGGGGGAGAGGGGGGUCUCCACGGCUUCUACCUCCCCCGCGGCUGGGGCUACCCUUCGAGCUACGGAACACUCCACGGCGUGCGCCCCCAGGGCCUCCCAAACUGUUUCUAAACUGCCCAGACCGGAGGUGGACGCGUGGAGGCUCGGCGAAAGGGCUGGGUUUCGAGUGGGGUGAUUGUGUGUGUUCGACUACUAGGAGCCUGGGGAGGGAGGCAGACGUCGACCCCAAACGAGUUGCAAUCGAGGUAUCUCCGAUCCCGCUUCCUCUUCGGCCCGCACACCCCCUCCCUCCCUGGAGCUGUGCUGGGGAGGGGAAACCAAGAUUUGGAACCACCUUAGCCUUCACAUUCCUGGGAGGAUACAGCCCUCGCCUGGAACUGGAAGAUAGCUCUUUAUUUAUUUUUUUUCCUUUUUUCCUCUCUGUUUUUAUUUUUGGAGGGGAUCGCCCAGUGAUUGUCUUGAACACAUGCUUCUUCCUCCCUCCUUCCUCCAGCCACCAGCGACAGAGAGUCCCCUUUUUUGCAUUUAUCAUUUUCCUUCCCCUUUCUUUAUUAAAGGUCCGGGAGUGGCGGCGGCCAAUCAGCGCUCGGCUUCCAUUUUGUGAGCGCAACUCUGAGGCUUCCCCGGCUUUCGCGUGGAUCUGUUUGCAGACCCCUCGGUCUCUCUUCUUGGGCUGCCGAGGCGAAGCAGCCGCCUCGCCGGGGCUUCGUGGUGGUGUAUUUCAUAUUGGGGCUCUUUUUCGGGGUUUGUAAUUUGGCCGUGGGUAGGUAAUUGGCUGGAGCAGGGCGGCAGGGCGCGGCAGCCAAUCAGCACGCGGCUUCUAUAGGGCUUGAGUUAUUAGACGCUGAUCUCAAAACAUCCUUCAUCAGACUCCAAGGAGAGGCCAACAGAUGAGGGGAGCCAUUUUUCUGCAAUGGAAUUAAAUGGCCAAGUGGGUUUUUCCUUUGUUGCAAAUGGGGAAUGCUUUUCCUUUGACUCCACCAUCCAGUUCAGGACGCCUGAAUGUGUUUAACAUUUGCCAAAGGACUCACACUUGGAAGAAUGAAGAAGACCUUUUAAAAAGAUCUGGAUUUUUCCUUAUGACUUGGAAUCCAUCUUUGUCUUGUAUAACUAGGUCAUAGCACACUAUUAAUGUCAGCAGUUAACAGUUUUGAAUUCAAAAAAACCUAAGUAAAUGACAUAUUUAAUUUUUUUUCCUCUUUUUUUCUUGGGUGGGUGGAGGGGAGAGCUUGGAGCUGUCUUAAUCUGUAUUCUCUUGACUGAACAAUAAAUUUUUAAAUAUAGUUUCCUCUAUUAAACACUUAAGCCUGACCAUCUUAUUAACUCUUUUUUAACAAGGUAAUGUUUUAAAUGUAUAGUUGUAGCGAAAUGGCAACAAUAACAAAAAUCUGUGAGCUGUUGUUACUGUUAAGUUUUCUAAAAACCUUUUACAUUGUAAGUACCCAAUCCAUUCUGUCCUUACUGCACUUGAGUUUUCGUGUUACUGUCGCCUGAGAUGAACUGAAUUUUCGGAACCUUCAUCUGCAUGUGUUGUCUUUGUCUCUGUCUGAUGUAAGUCAGUUAAAAUGCUUUUAGACCUUUGCUUCUAUAAAAAUACGAUUUUUUUAGCUUCAAGCUUUUUGGGGGAAAAAAUGUUUACAGCAAUAGUUGCUAUUCAGAUUUCUUCCCAGUAGCUCUUACACUUUCUUUGAAAAUCGAUCUAUUUGAAGAAAAACAGCUCUUUUUCUCGACUUGGGUGUGGGGUGGUGGAGGGUGAAAGAAAGGAAGACCUUUUGUAUAAAAAGACUGAAAGCCGUCACUGAAAAUUAGAUUAAAACUGGACAAAAAGCCCUAGCCGGUUCAAGCCAAACACCUACGUUAACUCGGUGGUAUUUUCUCUGUCGGUUGGGAUGGCUGGUGAGCUAUUUUGCCUUUUGUUUGAUUUGACUGUGUUUUUGCCUUUUGUUUCUUAAUGACGAUCACACCAUUGGUAAAUCCAGAGCAGUAAACAGUCCUCAGCGAAGCCGCCUUUUUGCCAGCCCAACCCUGGAAAGUUUGCAGUCGUGGAAGGAGCAGAAAUACCAUGAGUGUAACUUACAAAAAGCUUUUUCUUCUAGACUCCAUGGCACCGGGCUGAGCCGGUCUUGGCCGGAGACCGGAGCAAUGUCUGUGUUGUCCCCACAGUAGACACUCCUGGCUUCCUCUGGACAACUGGAGCAGGCCUAGUUUGACUGACAAGCCUUCCCACUAAGAAGUGAAUUCUCCCCACUGGCAAACGCAGCCAGUCAGUCUCCUGAGUCAAGAGCCAAGCCAAAAGACACCCGAGAGAAGAAACCUGGGGUCCUGCAAAGGUAAGCGGUUCCCAGCUUACUCCAAAUCUUCCUCUCUUUGUGCCAUUUUUAUUCCAAUGGCCUGCUCUUCUUCUGAGGAACCUCACCACCUCUGGCAUGUCAAUGGAAAUUGUCCUGGUUCUUUUCUUUUUUUUCUGCCGCCCUCAUGAGCCACUAAGAGAUAGCCUAGCCCCUCCUCCCCUUGACAGGACUCUGUUGAGUCCUGUCUGUUGUGUUUUCUUUGCAGCCCUCCUCCCCCUUCAACCAGCACUUAGGCCCUCCCUGAUUUAGCCCGUUACCUUGACAACCACUUGGGCCUGUCUCCCUUAUCGCCGCUGAAAACCUGAAGGUUUUCCAGCUGCGGUACAUUUGCCCGAGUUGGGCACCCCUCCAGCGUCUAUUGGCUCGCCCUCCGUGCUGUACCCAAUAUAACAAACACAACCUUCCCGGUCCUUCAGCUGUGGUCUCGAAAUUGAUCUCACUGGUCCCGGGAACUCCCAUCACCUCCUCCAGACUGAGCUCCUCACAGGCAGGAACAUGGUUGUUUCUCAAUAAACAAGUUGAAAAAGGAA